AGAGUGGGUUUGAGCCAAGGAUGACUUGCCGGCAUGCAACUGCAGACAAGCAGCGUGCCGUAACUGGAUCUUCCGGUAAGUCAUCUUUGGUUCUAAUUCGCUCUCU
rnacentral:pre_miRNA from 1 species